UAUGAUAUACAGUGUAUCGCUCAGUGCUGUCCUAGGACAGCACUGAGCGAUACACUGUAUAUCAU